rnacentral:rRNA from 1 species
AGAGUUUGAUCCUGGCUCAGGAUGAACGCUAGCCACAGGCUUAACACAUGCAAGUCGAGGGGAAACGACAUCGAAAGCUUGCUUUUGAUGGGCGUCGACCGGCGCACGGGUGAGUAACGCGUAUCCAACCUGCCCAUCACUUGGGGAUAACCUUGCGAAAGUAAGACUAAUACCCAAUGAUAUCUCUAGAAGGCAUCUGAAAGAGAUUAAAGAUUUAUCGGUGAUGGAUGGGGAUGCGUCUGAUUAGCUUGUUGGCGGGGUAACGGCCCACCAAGCAACGAUCAGUAGGGGUUCUGAGAGGAAGGUCCCCACAUUGGAACUGAGACACGGUCCAAACUCCUACGGGAGCA